UGCCAUCCAUCUCUCCAACCAGCUCCAACCCCAGGUGGGAUUGUUCGGUUCUGUGAAUAGUGGACUCAUUGACCUUGAAGAAUUUCUCGAGAUUUUCUGUUGAAGGAAUUCAUAGAAUCUUGAGAUGAAACCUCGUUCUUCUCUAGAUUUUCUGGUGAAUUGCGUCUCAGUAAUGGUUUGGACACACUUGGUGGCAGCGGUGGUAGACGCCAUGCCUGUGGAAUUUGAAUUUGGAACACGACGAACUUCGCAGUGGCCUUCAUUCUUCUGACAGGUGGCAGGUGUUGAUUGUCUGGCGCAGUUUUCGUGGAGGUACGAAGGCUCCAUAGCAUGAUUUUUGAGCAAUCUCCCGAAGGAAUGCCGGUUAGUUUUGCUUCAUCUUCAAGUACUACUUGUUUCACGAAAUUGACAGACUUCUG